rnacentral:tRNA from 1 species
AUUUAUAUAGUUUAAAUAAAACAUUAUAUUUUCAAUAUAAAAUUAAUUUUAUUAAUUUAUAAAUU